rnacentral:rRNA from 1 species
CGGUGCCUACGGGGGGCAGCAGUGGGGAAUAUUGCACAAUGGGGGAAACCCUGAUGCAGCAACGCCGCGUGAGUGAUGACGGCCUUCGGGUUGUAAAGCUCUGUCUUCAGGGACGAUAAUGACGGUACCUGAGGAGGAAGCCACGGCUAACUACGUGCCAGCAGCCGCGGUAAUACGUAGGUGGCGAGCGUUGUCCGGAUUUACUGGGCGUAAAGGGCGCGUAGGCGGAUUUUUAAGUGAGAUGUGAAAUACUCGGGCUCAAC